GAAAUGAGAUUGCAGUGCACAUGGGGUUCUGCCACUCACAGUGUAGGAUGUUUCACCAUGUCUUCCUGAAAUGAUUUGCAAAUAGUCAAGAACAAAUGACUGUGGUGAUAGAGAUGUAUUUAUUGCUGCCACCUUGUUCCCACUUCACCGUUGCAUAUUUGUACACAGGACACAUAUUUAUUCUUUUAAGUUUAGAUUUUACUGAGAAAUGAGGACCUUAUCUGGACUUCACUGGGAGAAUUAUGAGUGGCCAGAGAUACUACAUUUUGAGCUGGAUGCCAGACCUUGAAAGAACUCUGCAUUUUUCAUUUUGAGAGAAGUCAGUGUGUUUUAUAAUGGGAGGAAGAUUAAAGCAGGUAUUUUGGCAUCAGAAGGACUGACCUUGACAGAGAUUGGUGAGGUUACUUCCUUGCUCCUGAAAAUGAUGAUGUUCUAUUUUCUACUAUUUGUGUCUAAAAAUUUAAACAGGUCCUGAGAAGAGGAUUAGAAAAAGGCAACACAUCAAAAAGUUAAGAGGCAGAAAUAGCUUUUAUGUUGCUGGUAAAUUUAAUGAGAUCUUAAGUUAUUAGACUGGCAAGUCUCAUCUCUUUGAGCAUCUCAGUGAAGACUGUCAGAAAUCAUCAAAAUUCAACACAACAGAGUAAAAGCUAAUAGCCUUUUUGUUAUACCAAAACUGAAAGGAUUGAUGUUCUUAAGUAACAAAAAGCAAUAAAGAUAAAAUACAGGACAUCAAAGAUAUCACAUACAUUCAUAUAUCUCAAGAAAUGAAAGCAAUGAAAGAGCUGUGCUACCCAAGGUGCGAAAAAGAAAGAAGGCCGAAGGGAAGAAGGUGGUGCUCACCCUUGCUGUCUUGAAAAAGCAGGAGACCAUGAAAGUGGUGAAUCUUCCAUUUGAGAAAUUUGGCACUGGACAGGACAUUUUGGCAUUGGACAGAACAUCCAGCCCAAAAGGGACCUCACUUACUUUGUCAAAUGGCCCCAUUAUACUAGGUUGCAGCAGCAGAGAGCCAUCCUCUAUAAACAGCUAGAAGUGCCUUCUGUGAUUAAUCAGUUCACCAGGGCCUUGGACCACCAAACAGCUGCUCAAUGGGGGCCCAGUGCAAAAUGACGUGGAUGUUGUACCUCGUUCAAAGUGUUAAGCGUUUCAAGAUGGCAACAGCAGAGCAUUAGGCCAAGUAUGAGGUCAUUAUGUACAUGGGUCCUUGUGUGACCACACAGGUCACAGGAACAUGAAGCUAGACCUGAGUGUAUAUUCAGAUAGGUAAAUCUUACAGAUUUUUAAAACUCAAUAAAAGAAAAACUACAUUUCAUGUGUGAACACAAAAAUUGGAAUUAAAUUGGCAAUAGCAUUGGGAUUUGUGCUCAGAGUCACAGUUUACAUCUGACCACAAUUUCUAUAUGAAUUUUUUAAGAUAAAACAGUAAGAAUUUUAGAGAAGGUUUCUGAAAUUUAAAAAUUAUAAUAACAUAAUUAACUUUGAUAUUUUAAUUCCAUGUAAUUUAAAACAUUUAAUAGAUAUAUAAUGUUCCACUAUUAAUUUAACUAGAAGUAUAAAAAUAAAACAUAUAUAAUAAAAAUAUUCUACUGAUUUUUAAAUUAUCUAUAUUAUACUGAGUAAAAGAAAAUUUAGGAAUAUAAAUAAAUGAGCAUUUUUGAACAUGUAAAAAUAUUUUCUUGCUGUUUUUAGGAGACUUUUAGCAGGACAGGAGCUUACCUCUCAUCUACCUCUGCUUGGACAAACCAGUGAUGUGAUUUGCAAAUAGGCUGUAACUUCACCGAAAACACAUCACAGUAAAGAAAAGCAGUGACUUUCAGAGAAUUUGACCUAACUUAGAAUUUGUAAAAGAGAAAAGCAUUGUCCUUAUGCCUAAAGUACAUGACUGUUUCUUUUUAAGUUACAUGUAUAUUUACCUGACCAAUUUGUUUUACUCUGUAUUUUAAGUUAUCAGGUGAAAUGGUUUUGGAAUAAAUUAAUGAGUUGUUUGUUCUGAAUAAAUGUGCAUGUUACAAGUGCAA
rnacentral:lncRNA from 1 species